AUACGAAGGGGGCUAGCGUUGCUCGGAAUUACUGGGCGUAAAGGGAGCGUAGGCGGACAUUUAAGUCAGGGGUGAAAUCCCGGGGCUCAACCUCGGAAUUGCCUUUGAUACUGGGUGUCUUGAGUAUGAGAGAGGUGUGUGGAACUCCGAGUGUAGAGGUGAAAUUCGUAGAUAUUCGGAAGAACACCAGUGGCGAAGGCGACACACUGGCUCAUUACUGACGCUGAGGCUCGAAAGCGUGGGGAGCAAACAGGAUUAGAAACCCCAGUAGUCC
rnacentral:rRNA from 1 species